AGGAUGAACGCUGGCGGCGUGCUUAACACAUGCAAGUCGAGCGGAAAGGCCCUUCGGGGUACUCGAGCGGCGAACGGGUGAGUAACACGUGAGAAACCUGCCCUGGACUUUGGGAUAACCCUCGGAAACGGGGGCUAAUACCGAAUACGACCUUCAACCGCAUGGUUUGUUGGUGGAAAGUUUUUCGGUCUGGGAUGGUCUCGCGGCCUAUCAGCUUGUUGGUGGGGUAAUGGCCUACCAAGGCGACGACGGGUAGCC
rnacentral:rRNA from 1 species